rnacentral:misc_RNA from 1 species
UUUCCGUAGGUGAACCUGCGGAAGGAUCAUUAUUGUAUAACCGAGGUGCGAGGGCUGUCGCUGACCCGAAAGGUCGUGCACGCCCGAGUGCCCUCACACACAUCCAUCUCACCCCUAUGUGCACCACCGCGUGGGUCCCCCUUUGGCUUGUUCGGAGGGGGGCUUACGUUUUCACACAAACUUUGUAUGCAGUGUAGAAUGUAUUUUUUGUUUUUGCGAUCACGCAAUCAAUACAACUUUCAACAACGGAUCUCUUGGCUCUGGCAUCGAUGUAGAACGCAGC